rnacentral:piRNA from 1 species
UAGACAAAGUAGUUUACACUCAAUCUUGUC